CACGGGAACUUCAGGGACAACAUUUAACAGCAGACGGGAAACACUGGGAAACACAGGGUUUAAAUACACAGAAACUAAUGGGACACACCUGGGAACAAUAUGAACUAAUCAAUCAAACACAGCUGGACACAAAUGAUAACCAAUGAGGACAGGACAUAGGAAGAACCAAAUAAGGGCAAACAGGAACAUACAGGUGACAGAUCGCCCCCCUCCCAGAUGGUGCGUCCCUUGCCAUAGCAGCUCAGGUUGCCAUGGUGGAGCAGGCAGCUCAGGAGGCCAUGGCGGAUCCACUGUGGCCUUAGCUGGCUCAGCCACGGGUAUAUGCCCCCCACAAAAAAAAAAAAACCAAUUGUGGAAAACUAGGAAUCCUGGGGAGCAGCAGGCACUUGAGGGUGCUCUGGAGGAGAUUCAGGGACUGGCCCUCCUUGCCGCUAAGCAUGAGGACAGGAGCCCUCACUGGGCUAAACAGGGAAUCAGGAGCCCUUCCUGGGCUUAACUGAGGAACAGGAGCCCUCCGUGGGCUAUACCCGGGAACUGGAACCCACUCUGGGCUGGAUUUUGGGAUCGCUUAUGAGGAGCUGGCACAGCAAGGCACUUUCAAUCAGCACACACUGGAGCAAGCUCUGGUGCUGGAGCCGACACUGGAGCGAGCUCUGGAGCCGACACGGGAGUGAGCUCUGGGGCUGGAGCCGACACGAGAGCUAGCCUAGGAACCAAAAACAACCGCAUUCUUCUCCACAAAUUCCCCUCUAGGCUCGGGGUGAAAGGCACGGCUGGCAGGCUUGCCAUUGCAGUGAAACGUGUGGCGGCUUCCAAGACACGGUGAAAAACGGGAAAACAAAAACUAUUAAAAAAGGUGGAAAACAAAAACGGGGAAAGGUGCUUACUUUCGGUUUAAGUUCUGCUGUUCUAUCACGGUCACUCAGGGAGGAAGGAACCAGGAGAGGCAGCAGAACAAUUCAACUAGAAUUUAAUUCAAAUAAAAAAAUGAAUUCAAAACACGGGAACUUCAUGGAUAACAUUUAACAGCAG
ensembl:lncRNA